CCUACGGGGAGCUGCAGUGGGGAAUAUUGGACAAUGGGCGAAAGCCUGAUCCAGCCAUGCCGCGUGUGUGAAGAAGGCCUUCGGGUUGUAAAGCACUUUCAGUGGGGAAGAAAGCCUUGGGGCUAAUACCCUCGAGGAAGGACAUCACCCACAGAAGAAGCACCGGCUAACUCCGUGCCAGCAGCCGCGGUAAUACGGAGGGUGCGAGCGUUAAUCGGAAUUACUGGGCGUAAAGCGCGCGUAGGCGGUCUGAUAAGCCGGUUGUGAAAGCCCCGGGCUCAACCUGGGAACGGCAUCCGGAACUGUCAGGCUAGAGGGCAGGAGAGGAAGGUAGAAUUCCCGGUGUAGCGGUGAAAUGCGUAGAGAUCGGGAGGAAUACCAGUGGCGAAGGCGGCCUUCUGGACUGACACUGACGCUGAGGUGCGAAAGCGUGGGUAGCAAACAGGAUUAGAUACCCGUAGUAGUC
rnacentral:rRNA from 1 species